AUCCAUAGCCAUGGUACCCUGAACAAGCCCAGUCCCAUCUGAUCUUGGAAGCUAAGCAGGGUCAGGCCUAGUUAGUACUUGGAUGGGAGACCACCUAGGAAGACCAGGUGCUAUAGGAG
rnacentral:rRNA from 1 species